rnacentral:misc_RNA from 1 species
GUGCUCACUUCUCAGAAUCUGUCAAUCUUCUUCAUCAUCUGUCCCAGGGAUGAUGAGUGAACCAGGCACCCACUGCAGAGGUAUUUGGUCAAGAAAUCAUGAUGGGGUCUUUUUUUUUUCCUGUUUAAUUAGUCUUGGAUUUUUGUUUGGCUGAUGGGUUUCUGGAAAAAAUUAAUAUAACUCCGGCGAGCUCUCUCUCUCUCUCUCUCU